ensembl:lncRNA
GGUAGGGAGGAGGUGUAGGGAGGAUAUGUACCACCCAGCUAACAGUCCAGCUGUAGGGAGGAGGUGUAGGCAGGAGGUGUACCACCCAGCUAACAGUCCAGCUAACAGUCCAGCUGUAGGGAGGAGGUGUAGGGAGGAGGUGUACCACCCAGCUAACAGUCCAGCUAUAGGGAGGAGGUGUAGGGAGGAGGUGUAGGGAGGAGAUGUACCACCCAGCUAACAGUCCAGCUAUAGGGAGGAGGUGUAGGGAGGUGGUGUAGGGAGGAGGUGUAGGGAGGAGGUGUGUAGGGAGGAGGUGUAGGGAGGUGGUGUAGGGAGGAGGUGUAGGGAGGAGGUG